ACCUGGCUGGUUCAGUCAGUAGAGCAUGUGACUCUUGAUCUCAGGGUUGUGAGUUUGAGCCCCAUGUUGGGUA
rnacentral:tRNA from 1 species